UACGUAGGGGGCAAGCGUUGUCCGGAAUCAUUGGGCGUAAAGAGCGUGUAGGCGGCCCGGUAAGUCCGCUGUAAAAGUCAAAGGCUCAACCUUUGAAUGUCAGUGGAUACUGCCGGGCUAGAGUCCGGAAGAGGCGAGUGGAACUCCUGGUGUAGCGGUGGAAUGCGCAGAUAUCAGGAAGAACACCAACGGCGAAGGCAGCUCGCUGGGACGGUGCUGACGCUGAGGCGCGAAAGCGUGGGUAGCAACAGG
rnacentral:rRNA from 1 species